CUGGCAAGCAUGGGGCCAGCUGCAGUCACAGUGCGCAGCCUACAACUGUUGCAGAGAUUGCAUGGUUUUGCGUUCAACCUGGCAGAUGAUUCUGAGAAGUUGAGAUUCUGCUUUUCUACAUCUGAGAUUACAGGUGCCGGCAGAAGAUGGCAUCGACCAGGAGCAACAUUCUCUCUAUCGGUGAUGGCAGACUGUGGCAAAGGGUUACCUUGUGCAGGAGCUUCUGUACAUGUGUGACUGCAGAACAUGGAAGAUGACAGAGAAAUGAUGAUAUGCCGAUCUUAAGGAUUUUCUUCUCUGUUUGAGAAUGCUGAAGAUGUCUUGGAGAAGGGGAGAUUCUGCUUCUCCACAUAAGAUUGCAGAAGAUGGCAUCGACCAGGAGCAACAUUCUCUCUGUGGCAAACUGUGGUAGAAGAUUAUCCUGACCAAGGGCAGUAUCUUCUCACCUCUGAUAGCAGAACACACAGAAGGUUACUCGGAGCAGGAGCAAUAUAUUCUGUACAUCUGUGACUGCAGAACAUGGAAGAUGACACAGAAAUGAUGAUAUGCCGAUCUUAAGGAUUUUCUUCUCUGUUUGAGAAUGCUGAAGAUGUCUUGGAGAAGGGGAGAUUCUGCUUCUCCACAUAAGAUUGCAGAAGGUUACUCGGAGCAGGAGCAAUAUAUUCUGUACGUCUGUGACUGCAGAACAUGGAAGAUGACACAGAAAUGAUGAUAUCCUGAUCUUAAGGAAUUUCUACUUCAUCUGAGAGUGCAGAAGAUUUGGAGAAGGGGAGAUUCUGCUUUUUUACAUCUGAGAUGGCAGAUGGUGGCAGAAGAUGGUAUCGACCAGAAGCAACAUUCUCUCUAUUGGUGAUGGCAGACUGUGAUAGAAGAUCCUGAUCUUGAAGAAUUUCUUCUCCAUCUGAGAGUGCAGAAGGUUGCUUUGAUUUUGGGAAAUGUUGGCCCCCGUAAAGAUGAUCCAUUCAAGAAAUAACACUGGCCAUGGUUGCCAUUUUCAUCUUGUGAAAAACAUUUGUGCAAAACUUGUGUGCAUUUUUUGUCAGAGGAAGAAAGUCUUUGCAUACUAAUCAUUCCAAUGUUUUGGAUUAAAUGUGUUUAAUCCACCUUACAAUUACUAUUAUUUCCAUGUUGUAAACCUUUAUUUGGUUAGGUAUGUGGAAAGUCUAUAUUAACUGAAGGCUGAAU